CUACAUACGGGGAUACUUUCUAAUAAACUGGUGUCCUAUUCAUAUAAUUGCUGGAAAAGUGCAUUGGGCAUUCCUACCAUGAUUUACACAUGUGCAGUUGGAAGAUCACUUCUCUUGCACCUGUUUUUGUCAAUAGUGGUUUCAAAAGGAGAUUGGUGGGUAAGCGGAAUGAUGUUGGUGGUAGGCAGAAGAAAUUUCUGUUGAGAUGCAUUUUCAACAGUACAUUCUGAUAAGUUUGUAGUAAACCUUUAUAAACUUGGUCAACAUUUUUCUUGCUUUAUUUUGGUUUGUAUAUUUGUUUAAAAGUAUUUGCCAGUUUAAAAAAUUGUCAAGUGGUGCAUGUCCGUUUUAAUGAAAUCAUCUGGGUGCAAGGGGCCCUGUCUGUUUAGUUUUUU